CCGCAGCGCCCCCCACUGGCCCUGAAACACAUCACAAUGAAUAAUCAGUCAGAGGAGCAAAGCGCGACAGAUGGAAACGCUGCAGGUCAGCUGAUUUACGCACAACGUGAUCUGAUGUCGGACUCGUCAACACGUCUGGAGCAAAAGCGUUUCCGUUGCUGAGCUGGGAAUAUCAUAUAUAAACCCAAAAAAACUUAACUUAUUCUAAUGUUUAGAGCUGCAAUUAGUCAAUCAAUUGAUCAGUCAGCUCCCAGAAAAUUAAUCAGUGUCUAUUUGGAUAUUAAAGGAUGAUUCUUUUGAGUGAAAAUGCCAAAUAUUUGAUGGCUACGGCUCCUAAAAGAACGAACCAAGACCACUUACCAGGUGAUGAAGCGUGCUCUGUCUCCUCCUGGUCCUGGUCUUCUUCCAGUGGACUGCAGUUUCCAGCGGACAGUCCUCCCAGUGAGGAUCUCACAAAAACUACUCAACGGAUCUGCACCGAACUUGGUGGAGGGACGGGGCCUGGUCCUGGGAAGAACCCGUUACAGUUUGGAUCUGAUCCGUUUACAGGGGCAGAUUCAGGGAUUUUUUAAAAUCACUUUCCUUGACAUUGUGAGAGAGGACAUUCUUGGCCCUGGCGGAGGUCUGAGCUCUACUGAGCGCCGGUCUAGUUUUAUCCGUUCUUAUCGUGUGAACCGUAGCGCUGAAGAAAUGCUGAGGAAACUGCUGACUAUUGUAUGUGGAGAGAAGGACAGUAAAUUCUACCUUGAAGCUGGUCACAGCCACAUAUCUU